GGGGAUCAUAAUAUGAAUGCCUGGCUUCGCGGCCGGCUGAAUAUUUUUUCACCCAUGUCUUUUGCGCACUUGUUGUUUCCUGGGCGGGUUCGCCCGCCACCAGGACCAAACCAUAAACCUUUUUCUUAUGCAGUUUCCAUCAGCGUCAGUAAAAACAAUGUAAUAAUUACAACUUUCAACAACGGAUCUCUUGGUUCUGGCAUCGAUGAAGAACGCAGCGAAAUGCGAUACGUAGUGUGAAUUGCAGAAUUCAGUGAAUCAUCGAAUCUUUGAACGCACAUUGCGCCCUUUGGUAUUCCAAAGGGCAUGCCUGUUCGAGCGUCAUUUGUACCUUCAAGCUUUGCUUGGUGUUGGGCGUUUUUGUCUCCCUCUUUCUGGGAGACUCGCCUUAAAACGAUUGGCAGCCGGCCUACUGGUUUCGGAGCGCAGCACAUUUUUUGCGCUUUGUAUCAGGAGAAAAGGACGGUACUCCAUCAAGACUUUUACAAUUUUAACUUUUGACCUCGGAUCA
rnacentral:rRNA from 1 species